ACGUCCCCAGCUCCUCUGCUGGCUGGCCAUGGGGCCCACGGAAGUGGACAGAACACCCCUUGGGUUGUGGAUGUCCUUCUCCACUGCCUCCAAACGCUGGUCUUAGGCAGCGGCACCCCAGAGGUGGGGGCCUGACCCCGCCCACCCCGCGUCUUGCAGGUGCACCCUUUGCUGCCAGGCUCGGCCACCGUCCUGAUCCAUGACCUGUGCCUGCCCUUCCUGGCCCCAGCCAAGGCCACCGUCUACGUCUCGGACAUCCACGAGCUGUACGUCCGCGUGGUCGACAAGGUGGAGAUUGGGAAGACGGUCAAGGCCCACGUCCGAGUGCUGGACUUUUACAAGAAGCCUUUCCUGGCCAAGUACUUUGCCUUCAUGGACCUCAAACUGCGGGCGGCCUCCCAGAUCAUCACCCUGGUGGCCCUGGACGAAGCC